rnacentral:sRNA from 1 species
GAGAGAGAGAGAGAGAGAGAGAGAGAGAAAGAGAGAGAGAGAGAGAGAGAAAGAGAGAGAGAUUUACUUUAUUUACGUUUUGAUGGAUUGAGGGUAAAAAAAUCCAAAAAAAAAAGAAUUAGUGUAAAAAGUGCAUCUUCCCUAAAAAUGGCCUCAAAUGGAAUAAAAUUCUUUAAAAGGGCCUAAACGUGUCACAUUCCCUUUUUAGAUUUGGAUGAAAAUUUCAGAAUUCUAUAAACAAAACCAAAAAUGACGUUUGUAAUAUAUUUGGAAAAUAUAAAACAUUGCUACAAAUUAUUUAUGAAAU